rnacentral:rRNA from 1 species
GAAUGCUGACAUAAGUAACGAUAAAGCGGGUGAAAAGCCCGCUCGCCGGAAGACCAAGGGUUCCUGUCCAACGUUAAUCGGGGCAGGGUGAGUCGACCCCUAAGGCGAGGCCGAAAGGCGUAGUCGAUGGGAAACAGGUUAAUAUUCCUGUACUUGGUGUUACUGCGAAGGGGGGACGGAGAAGGCUAUGUUGGCCGGGCGACGGUUGUCCCGGUUUAAGCGUGUAGGCUGAUUUUCCAGGCAAAUCCGGAGAAUCAAGGCUGAGGCGUGAUGACGAGGCACUACGGUGCUGAAGCAACAAAUGCCCUGCUUCCAGGAAAAGCCUCUAAGCAUCAGGUAACAUCAAAUCGUACCCCAAACCGACACAGGUGGUCAGGUAGAGAAUACCAAGGCGCUUGAGAGAACUCGGGUGAAGGAACUAGGCAAAAUGGUGCCGUAAC